UCAGAUCAUGUGAUCUGACUUGUUGUAAGGUAGCAUAAUCACUUGUCUUUUAAUUCAAGGCUAGAAUAAAAGGAAUAACGAGAGGUUAACUGUCUCUACUUACUAUUUAAACUUCUUUUCAAGAUAAAAAACCCUUGUUAUUUUAAUAGGACGAUAAGACCCUGAAAUCUUCUUGACUUUUAUUCUAUUAUAGAUUAUGACUUAAAUAUAAGUAUACUGGGGCGGUAAUUUCUUUAAACAGGAUGUCCUAAACCACCGUGAGUGUUCUUUACCAAACCUUAAAGCAAACAAUCAGAUACUUCAGGGCUAACAGCGUAAUAUUUCUCAAGAGUUCAGAUCGCCAGAAAUGAUUACGACCUCGAUGUUGAAUUGAAUUCUCCUCCUCAAGCAGCUCUGAUUA
rnacentral:rRNA from 1 species